AUGCCCCAGUCGACACCGGUGACAGAACCAGUGACUCAGCAGUCCGGAGACCUCAACCGGGCUUCCGUUACUUUUGCCAUCCCCUUGUCGAGUGAACGUCCUUCAUUGUUGACUGCCCAUGCUUUGGAUCCUCAGCCUGCUGCGACUGGUUUGCCCUCGCCACUUUUCACCUCCCGUCAUGUCCCAGAGGACCAAGUAGGAGCUGCCAAAAAAGCCAUACGCCAGGCAGGCCUUAUGAUGGAACAAAUGAAGGUGGUGCGUGAGGCUAGCCAGGCCGCUUAUGACGCCAGUUCAGCCCUCCAGACCAAUGUCCAGAAAUCUUGUGAACUUGGAGCUCGAUUUGCUGAUCUGGAGCAGAAGCAGAUCCAGCUCAAUCUUGAUCUGGAGUUGGCCAAGGAGAACUUGCAGAAAGCCAAGGAUGACGUUGCAGAAAAAUGA
rnacentral:rRNA from 1 species